AGACGGAAGGUGCGAACGUUGUUCGGUGUCACUGGGCUUAAAGGGUGUGUAGGCGGCCGAGUAAGUGUGGGGUGAAAUCCCUCGGCUUAACCGAGGAAUGGCCUCAUAUACUGCUCGGCUUGAGGACCAUAGGGGAGAGCGGAACGUUGCAAGUAGGGGUGAAAUCCGUAGAUAUGCGACGGAAGACCGGUGGCGAAGGCGGCUCUCUGGAUGGUUUCUGACGCUGAGACACGAAAGCGUGGGUAGCGAACGGGAUUAGAAACCCCAGUAGUCC
rnacentral:rRNA from 1 species